GCGCGGUUAGCUCAGUUGGUAGAGCAGGAUGUUUACACCAUCAAGGUCAGGGGUUCGAGUCCCUUACCGCGCA
rnacentral:tRNA from 1 species